GAAACCCGGUGAUCUAGCCAUGGGCAGGUUGAAGGUUGGGUAACACUAACUGGAGGACCGAACCGACUAAUGUUGAAAAAUUAGCGGAUGACUUGUGGCUGGGGGUGAAAGGCCAAUCAAACCGGGAGAUAGCUGGUUCUCCCCGAAAGCUAUUUAGGUAGCGCCUCGUGAAUUCAUCUCCGGGGGUAGAGCACUGUUUCGGCAAGGGGGUCAUCCCGACUUACCAACCCGAUGCAAACUGCGAAUACCGGAGAAUGUUAUCACGGGAGACACACGGCGGGUGCUAACGUCCGUCGUGAAGAGGGAAACAACCCAGACCGCCAGCUAAGGUCCCAAAGUCAUGGUUAAGUGGGAAACGAUGUGGGAAGGCCCAGACAGCCAGGAUGUUGGCUUAGAAGCAGCCAUCAUUUAAAGAAAGCGUAAUAGCUCACUGGUCGAGUCGGCCUGCGCGGAAGAUGUAACGGGGCUAAACCAUGCACCGAAGCUGCGGCAGCGACGCUGAUGCGUUGUUGGGUAGGGGAGCGUUCUGUAAGCCUGCGAAGGUGUGCUGUGAGGCAUGCUGGAGGUAUCAGAAGUGCGAAUGCUGACAUAAGUAACGAUAAAGCGGGUGAAAAGCCCGCUCGCCGGAAGACCAAGGGUUCCUGUCCAACGUUAAUCGGGGCAGGGUGAGUCGACCCCUAAGGCGAGGCCGAAAGGCGUAGUCGAUGGGAAACAGGUUAAUAUUCCUGUACUUGGUGUUACUGCGAAGGGGGGACGGAGAAGGCUAUGUUGGCCGGGCGACGGUUGUCCCGGUUUAAGCGUGUAGGCUGGUUUUCCAGGCAAAUCCGGAAAAUCAAGGCUGAGGCGUGAUGACGAGGCACUACGGUGCUGAAGCAACAAAUGCCCUGCUUCCAGGAAAAGCCUCUAAGCAUCAGGUAACAUCAAAUCGUACCCCAAACCGACACAGGUGGUCAGGUAGAGAAUACCAAGGCGCUUGAGAGAACUCGGGUGAAGGAACUAGGCAAAAUGGUGCCGUAACUUCGGGAGAAGGCACGCUGAUAUGUAGGUGAAGUCCCUCGCGGAUGGAGCUGAAAUCAGUCGAAGAUACCAGCUGGCUGCAACUGUUUAUUAAAAACACAGCACUGUGCAAACACGAAAGUGGACGUAUACGGUGUGACGCCUGCCCGGUGCCGGAAGGUUAAUUGAUGGGGUCAGCGCAAGCGAAGCUCUUGAUCGAAGCCCCGGUAAACGGCGGCCGUAACUAUAACGGUCCUAAGGUAGCGAAAUUCCUUGUCGGGUAAGUUCCGACCUGCACGAAUGGCGUAAUGAUGGCCAGGCUGUCUCCACCCGAGACUCAGUGAAAUUGAACUCGCUGUGAAGAUGCAGUGUACCCGCGGCAAGACGGAAAGACCCCGUGAACCUUUACUAUAGCUUGACACUGAACAUUGAGCCUUGAUGUGUAGGAUAGGUGGGAGGCUUUGAAGUGUGGACGCCAGUCUGCAUGGAGCCGACCUUGAAAUACCACCCUUUAAUGUUUGAUGUUCUAACGUUGACCCGUGAUCCGGGUUGCGGACAGUGUCUGGUGGGUAGUUUGACUGGGGCGGUCUCCUCCUAAAGAGUAACGGAGGAGCACGAAGGUUGGCUAAUCCUGGUCGGACAUCAGGAGGUUAGUGCAAUGGCAUAAGCCAGCUUGACUGCGAGCGUGACGGCGCGAGCAGGUGCGAAAGCAGGUCAUAGUGAUCCGGUGGUUCUGAAUGGAAGGGCCAUCGCUCAACGGAUAAAAGGUACUCCGGGGAUAACAGGCUGAUACCGCCCAAGAGUUCAUAUCGACGGCGGUGUUUGGCACCUCGAUGUCGGCUCAUCACAUCCUGGGGCUGAAGUAGGUCCCAAGGGUAUGGCUGUUCGCCAUUUAAAGUGGUACGCGAGCUGGGUUUAGAACGUCGUGAGACAGUUCGGUCCCUAUCUGCCGUGGGCGCUGGAGAACUGAGGGGGGCUGCUCCUAGUACGAGAGGACCGGAGUGGACGCAUCACUGGUGUUCGGGUUGUCAUGCCAAUGGCACUGCCCGGUAGCUAAAUGCGGAAGAGAUAAGUGCUGAAAGCAUCUAAGCACGAAACUUGCCCCGAGAUGAGUUCUCCCUGACUCCUUGAGAGUCCUGAAGGAACGUUGAAGACGACGACGUUGAUAGGCCGGGUGUGUAAGCGCAGCGAUGCGUUGAGCUAACCGGUACUAAUGAACCGUGAGGCUUAACCUUACAACGCCGAAGGUGUUU
rnacentral:rRNA from 1 species